GAUGCCCCGUAGAGCUCCGCCAGCUUCCGGAAACGGGGCCCCCAGUCCGUCAGGAAGUCGAAGCUCUGCUCCGAGUCUGAUGUGGCCGACUGCAGGGAGCUGAGCGAGCCGGCCACGGAGCCGUCCCCCUCGAACAUCUCGUGAACAGUGACAGCUUGACAACACUGAAAACAGCCCCCAGUUUAUCCAAGGGGGGAAAAAUGGAGUACAGUCAUAUGUCCAGCAAGGAUGGCGGAGCUGCCAGUCACGCCCAUGGAUGUCUGUCUUGAGUGUGAGGUCCAGGACUGUGUUAAACUGCAACGAGGGCAGCCGAUUCUGAGACACCAUGAGCUGGUGAACUAAAAGAAGGUGGAGGGGCGAAAGGAGGAGAUUAUAAAGAAUGAGAAGGCAACCGGAGGAGAUGGUCUCACACCAACAACAAGGCAGACAGAAGAGAAACACAGACAUGGAGAGAAGAUGCAGCGAGGCAGAGGAAAUAUAAUAACGUGGAAAGACAUACGGUCAUGUUUGUUUAAACAUCUGUGUUGUGCUCUAUCUGUGUUUUCUUUAGAAGUGUUCGAAGGAAGUCUAGUUCUUUUGCUCAUAGAGUCAACUAAGAACUCAGGUUGUUCAUUGGAGAAUCUGCAUUUUAAAUUAGAUACAAAAUACACAAGAGGGGCAGCAUCAAUGUGAGGUCAACCAGGAAAUGGCAGUGGAUUGCCACCGCCAUAGAGUCUCUGGGCCUAAUGAAUGGAAAAGGGCGAGGGGGCAAAGAGGCUGGGGAAUCCUCGGUUUCCUCUGUUGGUUUGACUCUAGAAAGCACUCAAUUCCCACCCAAAGAGCUAAGGUUUUGCCAAAUGGUUCUAUAUUCUAUAUUUUUUAUAAUAGCCCUAAAGAAGAAAAAAACCCCAGAACAUGUUCCCCUCCCGUCAUAUCUGAUCCUUCCAACAAGUCUGUGAAGUAGGUGGGACAGGUAUUAAUACUGAUGUCAUCUAGUCAAGUGGGAGAUGAGGAAACAGACUAGGGAUUGAAUUGCUUGGGGAAAAUUACCUAGCUAGAAAGGAUAGUAGUAGUAAUAUUCAUAGUGGCUGAACAUGGGGUGGCUCUGCCACUAUGAUAUUUUGGGCAAGUAAUUUAACCUUUCUGUGCCUCAAUUUCCUCAUUUGUACAGUGGGGAGACUAAUAAGAGUACCUGAUUUUUAAGGUGGUUGUCAGCAUUACAUGAGAUAGUACAACAAGCACGUAGAACAGUAUCUGGCAAAACUCUUAAGUACUAAAUGCUAGCUAUUAUUAUUCUAAUUAUUAAUGAACACUAAACCAUUCAGAACAAGUGUUCUGGAUUCAUAGCCACAGCUCAUUUGAAUAAAAUAUACUUAGGCAACCAGUGAAGCCUCAUAAUCAGAGGUCACCACCUCUUUUCAGAUUCUGGGAAUGCUUCAAAGAUAAGACUGAUGCUCAACAGUAGAAGAAAGAGUUUCAGGCAGAGCAAGGUUCUGUUUAGGAGAAUUUCUGAUUGUAAGAAGUUCUAUCGGAAAUGGCUUCAUUAAUCAAGGGGUCUUCUUUGUUUAACGAUAAACUAUUUCCAUUGAAAAAGUCCCCUAUCCGAACCUAGGUUCUUGUGGUUAAAACUGUCGUGCUCUCAAGAUGUCUCUUCUCAAACUUUGUUUUUUGAUUUUUAAAUAGUUACGUAAUUAAUGUAUACGUAAUCAUAUAUUCUGUUUAACCAUGAAUAGUUUUUAUUUUUUAAACAUAAAAGCAGCUCUAUUAAAGUAGAUUAGAAGUCUUUUAAGCAUUGGAAGAGAUUUGGUUUGCAGAUCUUAUACCAAACAUGAGAAGUGCAUCAUCUAGGGUUGUUACUCCUGAACAACAAGUAAAAGACAAUUAUAGGUCAGAGAAAACCUCAGAGAGGUAUCUACCAAACCCUGUGGAGACCACAGAAUACCCAGGCCAGGUCUUACUCUGCAUAUGAUAACCUGAAAGAAGGAAUAAAAAAAUUUGAGCUUGUUACCAUCAAAUGUACGAACAUUUAUUAUCGAGCAGCCACUUGGAUUCCACACCUACCUAGGAGCAAAUAAGAGGACUGGGGCCAUUCAAACUAUAGGAUGGAGGACUGAGGUUAGCAACUUAGUGUGGAAUGGGGCCACUCCAAGCUGUAAGCUUACUAAAUGAUAGGACCAUAAGAGUGCAUUUUUUAGAACUCUGUGGGGUAAGUUCUAUCGUGAAGAGGGGUCCCGAAUUUAAACUUACAUGCCUUUGUUUACUUUUUUCAGUAAUUUAUUAAAAACUCUGUCUAAAAGGGAUGCUCAUCAUGGAGAUGAUGUUAACUGUACCAUUUUGUAUAAAAAAUAUUAAUUUGAGGUAAAAUUAAAGGGUCAUCUUUUUGAUGUCAUUUAGGACAGAAUUAUAUGGUUAUUGUUUUUUAUGGUAAAUUAUGGGUUUUUUGCUUGCUUGCCUAAUUCAAGUUCUCAUAACAUCUUCACAUUCCCAUUUGGUAAAUAAUUGUAUACUUGUAGAACUCUUAGAAGACAAAUAUGUGGCCAAAAGAAUAUUAUUAAGAAAAUACUAUGACCUUUCAGUGGUUUUAUAAUUAGCCAUAUUGAAGAAACCCAAAACAUGGAAUAAAUUAUUCAAAAGCUGUCUCAUCUUAAGAUUAUGUAAGAAUGCAUAUUCACAUUUAAAAAGAACAGUUGAACUCUUUUCCAGAAAAUAAUUUCAUUAAUAGCUUCAGAACCUUUAUCUUGCAAACUGUCCCAUUAAAUCUUUUACCCAUAAAUCAUACUUUUUAAUUAACUGAACUACAGACUUUAUUUAGAUUUCCUCAAUUUUUUCCACUAAUGUCCGUUUUAUAUUCCAGGAAUCAAUCCAGGAUCCCACAUUGCAUUUAAUUGUCAUGUCUGUUUUAAUCUCCUCCAAUCUGUGACAGUGUUCUGAGCUACCCUUGUCCUUCAUGAUAUUGAUACCUUUGAAGAGUACUGGUUAGGUAUUUUGUAGCAGGCCCAUCAAUUUGGGUUUGUGUGAUGGUUUCUCAAAUCAUACCUUUUAGUGAAAUUUUCUUACUUUUCAGUGGAAAUAAUAGAAUUUAUGAGCUGGAAGCAACCUUAGAAAUCAUUUUAUUGACUAGUCCAAAUUCCUGAUUUUAUUGGCAUGGAAAGAAAGGCCUCUGUGGUUUAAAUGGCUUCCUCCAGAUCAGUUGAUUAGUGAGUGACUGGGCUAGGACUAGUACUUGGUUCUCUUGUCACACACCUGAUGCUUUUUCAAGGCACCAUGCAAAUGAUGCCUCUGUCUUUGGCUAGCCAACACCUUAGCACAGUGGGGGCCAACAGACUCUGGUGAUGCUGUUUAUGCUCCUGAGGCAUCAUUCACAGAGAAUGCCAUGUGAACAGUACUCCCUGGGCUUAUGCAGCUCUGAUGUGUCUACUUGGACUAUUUAUAAAAUAAUUUGAGGUAGCUUAUAAUAAAAGAACAGAUAGAGUAAAACAAAAACAUGAGAUCCUACAAUAUUGAUUACUUGGAUAUAAUAUGAUUGGCAGAUGGUCCCAGUGCUCUACCCAGAUCUUGUUUUUAGAAGGGAGUGGCUGAAGGGCAGACAUUUUUUGUCUUUUAAGGGAGUGAAGUAGGAAGUGACUCCUCCUGUUACUUGGAAUGUUCUCAUUUCCGUGUACAGUGCAUGUUUUCUUUGAAAUAAUCAAUCUCUUUCCCACAUGUCUAAUAAAUCAAAACACGUUUUUCUCCCUCCCAGUCCAUUAUACACACAGGUACUGGAAGGCUGACCAAAAAAUAGUGUUGUGCAUUAAUCUUGCACUUCACAACUCUGCAUUUCACGUAACAGAACUUCUUGGAUUUCCACUUAAAAUGUUAAAGUGGAGUUUUAUCAUAGUUACCAAAAUAAAAGACAUAAGCCAACAGAGUGGGAGAAAUGAUCUUGCAAACCACAUAUCUGACAAAGAACUAGUAUCUAGAAUACAUAAAGAACUCUCAAAACAAAACAGUAAAAAAACCAAUUAACUUAGAACAUGGGUGAAAGAAAUGAAGAGACAUUUCACCAAAGAAGUGAUACAGAUGGUAAAUAAGCACAUGAAAAGAUAUUCAGCAUCAUUAGCUAUUAGAGAAAUGUGAACUAAAACCAUAAUGCAAUAUUACUAUGUGCCAAUCAUAAUGGCCAAAAUAAAAAAUCGUGGCAACAUCAAAUGCUGGUGAGGAUGAGGAUAGACUGGAUUACUCAUGCAUUGCUAGUGGGAAUGUAAAAUGGAACAACCACACUGGUAAAGAGUUUGGCAGUUUCUUUAAACAACUAAACAUGCAGUUACCAUACUCUCAAACAAUUGCACUCCUGGGUAUCUUCCCCAGAGAAAUGAAGACUUACAUUCACACAAAAACCUGUACAUGAAUGUUUAUAGCAGCUUUACUCAUAAUAGAUCCUAAAUGGAAACAACCCAGAUGUCCUUCAAUGGAUGAAUGGUUAAGCUGUGGUACAUCUAUACCACAGAAUACUACUCAGAAAUGAAGAGAACCAUUGAUAGAUGCAGCAACCUGGAUGAAUCUCCAGAGAAUUACAUUGAGUGAAAAAAGCUGAUCCAAAGAGGUUACACACUGUAUGAAUCUAUUAAUAGAUCAUUCUUGAAAUGCCAAAAUUAUAGACGUAGAGAUCCAAUUAGUGGUUGUCAAGGGUUAAGGAAUGGGUAGAGGCAGGAAGGAAGUAGACGUGGUUGUAAAAUAGCAACAUGAAAGACCCUUGUGGUGAUGGAAACGUUCUCUACUGUGACUGUAUCAUUGUCACUGUCCUGCUUGUGAUCUUGUACUAGAGUUACCAAGAAGUUACCAUGUGGGGAACUGGGUAAAAGGUACACAGAUUCUCUCGGAAUUAUUUCUUAUAACCUCACGUGAACCUACAAUUAUCUCAAAAUAAAAAGUUUAAUUAAAAAAAGGGGUUAUGCCAGACAUUAAAGAAAGAAAAGGGGUCUACUUUUUACUGAAAAUACUUCUGUUUGAAUUUUUUUUAAUCAGCUGAUAUUCAUGCAUUAUUAGUCCAAUAAAAAUUACCAAAAGAGAGGGACUGGCCUGGUGGUGUAAUGGUUAGGUUUGUGUGCUACACUUCAGUGGC